rnacentral:rRNA from 1 species
UACGUAGGGGGCAAGCGUUGUCCGGAUUUAUUGGGCGUAAAGAGCGUGUAGGCGGCCAGGUAGGUCAGCUGUGAAAACUCGAGGCUCAACCUCGAGACGUCGGUUGAAACCACCUGGCUAGAGUCCGGAAGAGGAGAGUGGAAUUCCUGGUGUAGCGGUGAAAUGCGCAGAUAUCAGGAAGAACACCAGUGGCGAAGGCGGCUCUCUGGGACGGUACUGACGCUGAGACGCGAAAGCGUGGGGAGCGAACAGG